UACGGAGGGUGCAAACGUUGCUCGGAAUUAUUGGGCGUAAAGCGCACGUAGGCGGACUGUUAAGUCGGACGUGAAAUCCCUCAGCUUAACUGAGGAAGUGCAUUCGAAACUGGCAGUCUUGAGUAUGGAAGAGGGUCGCGGAAUUCCCGGUGUAGAGGUGAAAUUCGUAGAUAUCGGGAGGAACACCAGUGGCGAAGGCGGCGACCUGGGCCAAUACUGACGCUGAGGUGCGAAAGCGUGGGGAGCAACAGGA
rnacentral:rRNA from 1 species